CCUACGGGAGGCAGCAGUGAGGAAUAUUGGUCAAUGGACGAGAGUCUGAACCAGCCAAGUAGCGUGAAGGAUGACUGCCCUAUGGGUUGUCAACUUCUUUUAUAUGGGAAUAAAAUGUUCCACGUGUGGGAUUUAGUAUGUACCAUAUGACUAAGGAUCGGCUAACUCCGUGCCAGCAGCCGCGGUAAUACGGAGGAUCCGAGUGUUAUCCGGAUUUAUGGGGUGUAAAGGGAGCGUAGGUGGAUUGUUAAGUCAGUUGUGAAAGUUUGCGGCUCAACCGUAAAAUUGCAUUUGAAACUGUCAGUCUUGAGUACAGUAGAGGUGGGCGGAAUUCGUGGUGUAGCGGUGAAAUGCUUAGAUAUCACGAAGAACUCCUAUUGCGAAGGCAGCUCACUGGACUGCAACUGACACUGAGGCUCGAAAGUGUGGGUAUCAAACAGGAUUAGAUACCCUAGUAGUC
rnacentral:rRNA from 1 species